rnacentral:rRNA from 1 species
UCCAGACUCCUACGGGAGGCAGCAGUGGGGAAUAUUGGGCAAUGGACGCAAGUCUGACCCAGCAACGCCGCGUGAAGGAAGAAGGCUUUCGGGUUGUAAACUUCUUUUAAGGGGGAAGAGUAGAAGACGGUACCCCUUGAAUAAGCCACGGCUAACUACGUGCCAGCAGCCGCGGUAAUACGUAGGUGGCAAGCGUUGUCCGGAUUUACUGGGUGUAAAGGGCGUGUAGCCGGGCUGACAAGUCAGAUGUGAAAGCCGGGGGCUCAACCCCCGAACUGCAUUUGAAACUGUUGGUCGUGAGUAUCGGAGAGGCAGGCGGAAUUCCUAGUGUAGCGGUGAAAUGCGUAGAUAUUAGGAGGAACACCAGUGGCGAAGGCGGCCUGCUGGACGACAACUGACGGUGAGGCGCGAAAGCGUGGGGAGCAAGCAGGAUUAGAUACCCCUGUA